rnacentral:lncRNA from 10 species
GUCUGAAGUUCACAGAACAUAAAGUUCAAGGCAUGGACGGCCAUUUGUGGGGCUGGACAGAGGAGCAUGGGGUAUGUCAGGAAAGUUCGUGCUGCUAGGCAGAGGAACUGCAGCUUGUUGGCAGGUGAAGGGAGCCUGUUUAGCUGUGUCCAGCAACAACUUACGUGGUCCUGCUUGUGUUCCAGGUGAAGCGUCUGGCCGCCGAGCAGAGGAAUCAAGACCUGCUCAUUCUUUCCUCGGGGGAUCCAUCCAGCAAUGACAUCAUCUCAUGCUGCCACAAGGACCCCAAGUCUGGGCUGCUGGGGACCAGCCACGCUCCCCACUGCUCAUUCCUUCAUCCUAGAGACAUUCUGACUCUCCUCCGACUGCGCUGUGCACAGGUGUGACAAGCUCUUUUACAUCUCAGUCUGCACAACUUCAGGCACUUAGCAGAUUGAUAUGCAUCCAACAAAUAUUGAUUGAAUAUCUGCUAAAUACCCAGUAAUGUUUCAUGAGUGAUUGGGUGAAUAAAGGAAUGCUGGUUCCUUCUGGCCAUAUUAACUCCUGCACAAUACUAAGAAAAAUAAAUUGCACUAGCUGUGGAAUAAUGUGAAUCCCAAUGUCAUCUAUUGAAAUAUUACCUGACUAUUAAGAGGUAUUUAUUUUUGUAUCUUUUCUAGCAAAGUAAAUAAAAUUCUUAAUACAGCAUAUC